ACUGCAAUUAGUGAACAUCGAUCCCGAUCAAGUCUGAACUUACAUAGCGAUUGAUAUCAGGAUCGAAAUUCGGGUGUACUUGCUGCUUCCGUUUUUAUUAGCUCACCUGAGCCGAAGGCUCAAGUGAGCUUUUCUGAUCACAUUUUGUCCGGCAUCCGUCUGUCUGUCUGUACGUCUGUCUGUCUGUAAACUUUUCACAUUUUCGACUUAUUCUCAGGAACCGCUGGGCCAAUUUCAACCAAACUUGCCACAAAGCAUCCUUGGGUAAAGGGAAUUCAAGUUUGUUCAAAUGAAGGGCCACACCCUCAUUCAAAGGGAGAUAAUUGGGAAGUAAUGAAAAUUUGGUGGUAUGUUUUAAAAAUCUUCUUCUCAAGAACCACUGUGCCGGGAAUGAUGAAACUUACAGGGAAACAUCCUCAGGUAGUGUAGAUUCAAGUUUGUUCAUAUCAUGACCCCCGGGGGUAGGGCGGGGUCACAAUGGCCGACCAAAGUUUUACAUAGAAAUAUAUAGGAAAAUUCUUUAAAAAUCUUCUUCUCAAGAAUAGCAAAGCCAUAAUUGAUCAUAUUUAUAUGGAAGCAUUUUCAGGUAGUGUAGAUUCAAGUUUGUUCAAAUCAUGACCCCCGGGGGUAGGGCGGGGCCACAAUGGCCCACCAAAGUUUAACAUAGACAUAUAUAGGAAAUUUCUUUAAAAAUCUUCUUCUCAAGAAUAACAAAGCCAGAAUUGAUCAUAUUUAUAUGGAAGCAUCCUCAGAUAGUGUAGAUUCAAAUUUGUUCAAAUCAUGACCCCUGGGGGUAGGGCGGGGCCACAAUGGCCGACCAAAUUUUACAUAGAAAUAUAUAGGAAAAUUCUUUAAAAAUCUUCUUCUCAAGAAUAGGAAAGCCAGAAAUUGAUCAUAUUUAUAUGGAAGCAUCCUCAGGUAGUGUAGAUUCAAGUUUGUUCAAAUCAUGACCCCCGGGGGUAGGGCAGGGCCACAAUGGCACACCAAAGUUUUACAUAGAAAUAUAUAGGAAAAUUCUUUAAAAAUCUUCUUCUCAAGAAUAGCAAAGCCAGAAUUGAUCAUAUUUAUAUGGAAACAUCCUCAGGUAGUUUAGAUUCAAGUUUGUUCAAAUCAUGACCCCCGGGGGUAGGGUGGGACCACAAUGGCCGACCAAAGUUUUACAUAGACAUAUAUAGGAAAAUUCUUUAAAAAUCUUCUUCUCAAGAAUAACAAAGCCAUAAUUGAUCAUAUUUAUAUGGAAGCAUUCUCAGGUAGUGUAGAUUCAAGUUUGUUCAAAUCAUGACCCCUGGGGGUAGGGCAGGGCCACAAUGGCCGACCAAAGUUUUACAUAGACAUAUAUAGGAAAAUUCUUUAAAAAUCAUCUUCUUAAGAAUAGCAAAGCCAUGAUUGGUCAUGGGACUACUUUUGGAUUUAAACUUUUCAAUAAUAAACCAAUUUCUACUUUUUCCUAGCCAUAGUGCUCAGGUGAGCGAUGUGGCCCAUGGGCCUCUUGUU